GUGGGGAAUAUUGGACAAUGGGCGCAAGCCUGAUCCAGCCAUGCCGCGUGAGUGAUGAAGGCCUUAGGGUUGUAAAGCUCUUUCGGCGGGGACGAUAAUGACGGUACCCGCAGAAGAAGCCCCGGCUAACUUCGUGCCAGCAGCCGCGGUAAUACGAAGGGGGCUAGCGUUGCUCGGAAUCACUGGGCGUAAAGCGCACGUAGGCGGGUCGCUGAGUCGGGGGUGAAAUCCUGGAGCUUAACUCCAGAACUGCCUUCGAUACUGGCGAUCUUCGAGUCCGGGAGAGGUGGGUGGAACUGCGAGUGUAGAGGUGAAAUUCGUAGAUAUUCGCAAGAACACCAGUGGCGAAGGCGGCUCACUGGCCCGGUACUGACGCUGAGGUGCGAAAGCGUGGGGAGCAAACAGGAUUAGAAACCCUGGUAGUCC
rnacentral:rRNA from 1 species